GCAAAACUUAAAGCAGAACCUGCACUCUAACCAUAAAGGAAACAUCAAGAACCUUUCGAUCUAUGUAGCUCUUCUGUCUGGACUGGGAUGUACAGAGUCUAUCCUUAAUUAUCUUAACCUUCUCUAAAGCAUCCUGAACCAAAACUGUGCCCAAUAGUCUGGCCUCAUCCGGCUCAAACAAACCCACCAAAGAGCUACACCGCCUACCAUACAGGGCCUCAUACAGUUC
rnacentral:lncRNA from 1 species